UACUUUGGAUAUUUCAGCCUCCGCCGCCUCUCUCUCCCUAUCUCUCUCUCUAUCGAUCGAUCUCGAUCUUUCUUGCGACCCCUCUCUUUCAGCCUCCGCCGCCUCUCUCUCUCUCUCUCUUGAUCGAUCUCAGAUUCGAUCUCGAUCUUGAUUGUCACCUCUCUCUCUCAGCCUCCGCCGCCUCUCUCUCUUUCGAUCGAUCUCAGAUUCGAUCUCGAUCUUGAUUGCCACCUCUCUCUCUCAGCCUCCGCCGCCUCUCUCUCUCUCUCUUGAUUGCAGGGUGAAAAAGGACAAGGUUUUGUGGAAGUAACAGUUUACGUGAGUUCCGACUCUGUCUUUAGAAGGAAGCUAAGUUAACGCCACUGGCCGGCUGCUUUCGCAUUUGCUUCUGCCUCAAGCUUGGUUCAGACACAUCCCCCGGGGAGAGGUAUUCUGAACAAUUUCUUGCAUUGUUCCUCUGUUUUAAGUUGUCCGAGAUCGGUUUUUUCCGGUGGUAGAGACUGCAGUGUGUCUUUCAGAGACAGAUUGAGAUGGGGGUUUCACAAUUGACAUGCCGAGGAUGCCGUUCAUUUGUUCGACUAGAUGGUUCAGUUCGACUAGAUGGUUCAGUCUCGUCCCUUACCUUCCAUCGUUGAUUUCACUAAACUAUUGAGUGCAGUCAUGAAAAUGAAACGGUAUGAUGUUGUGAUUUGUCUCUGCAAGAGAAUGGAGUUGCUUGGGGUUUCACAUAAUAUCUACUCCUACAAUGUUCUGAUCAACUGUUUCUGCCACGUUCGUCAAGUGUUAUUGGGCUUAUCUGUUGUGGGAAAAAUUUUGAAACUCGGUUACGAGCCUAAUGUAGUCACCUACAAUACCCUAGCUCAUGGAUUCUGUAUCCAGGGCAAGAUUUUUGCGGCGUUAAGUUUGGUUGACCAAAUGGUGAAAGAGGAUACAAACCUAAUGUUGUAACAUUUAACACUUUGGUCAACGGACUUUGCCUUGAGAGUAGAGUUUAUGAAACAUUGAGUUUACUUGACCAGAUGCUAAAGAUGGAAUGUCGGCCCGAUAUGGGGUCUGCAAGGCAGGAGAUUAUGCAUUGGCCAUGAAUCUGGUCAUGAAGAUGGAGGAAAUGCAUAUUGAGAUCGAUGUCAUAAUUUAUAAUACAAUUAUUGAUUUUCUUUGCAAAGCUGGACACAAGGACGAUGCACUGAACCUUUUCGAAGUGAUGCGUAAUGUCGGCAUUGUACCAAAUGUUGUUACCUACAACUGUUUGAUAAACGGUCUUUCCAGAUUUGGUAAAUGGGACGAUGUUGCCUCAUUGUUGAGUGAGAUGGUGAAAAUGAAAAUCACCCCUGAUGUGGUCACGUUCAAUGGAUUAAUCGAUGCACUCUUUAAAGAGAGAAGGUUUCUAGAGGCUGAAGAAUUGUACGAGGAGAUGAUUCGAAGAGGUUUAGUUCCGGAUACUAUUACUUAUAAUUCAUUGAUCAAUGGUUUUUGCCUGCAGAAUCAGCUUGGAGAAGCAAAAGAAAUGUUCAAUUUUAUGAUCACCAAGGGAUGCCUUCCAGAUGCAGUGACUUUUAGUUCUAUGAUAAAUGGUUAGUGCAAGGUUAAUAGGGUCGAUAAGGGUAUGAAACUCUUUUAUUAGAUGUCUCGAAGAAGAUUGGGUGUUGAUUCAAUUACUUACAAUAUUUUCAUCCAAGGGUUUUAUCGAAUAGACAAUUUUGAUGCUGCCCAAAAGCUUUUCUGGGAGAUGCAGUAUAAAGGUCAUCAUCCUAAUUUUGUAACUUAUAUCAUUUUGCUUGAUGGUCUUUGUAAGAACGGAAAAACGAACAAGGCACUUGGCAUGUAUAACAAGUUGGAAAAGAGUGGGAUUGACCUUCAUAAAUCUUUCCAUAAUGUCAUGAUGCAUUGUUUGUACAAGGUUGGGAGGGUUGACGAGACAUUUGUUUUCUUUAAUAGACUUCUUGAGGAAGGGGUGAAACCGAAUGUUAUUACGUAUAAUAUAAUGAUCUCCGGACUUUGCGGAAAAGGUUCAUUCUAUGAAGUCGAAAAGGUAAUUGGGAAGAUGAAAGAGGAUGAUUGUUUUCCGGAUGAUGGUACAUAAAACGCAUUGAUAAGGGAUCAUCUCAGAAGUGGCUCUCCAUCGAUUGGUUAUCGAGUUGAUACGAGAAAUGUGGAGCAAUGGGUUUUCUAUGCAUGCAUCGACUUCUAAGUAUGAUAACAGAUAUGGUAUGUGAAGGCAAUGAACAUUUGUUGAAUUCGCUUGGUGUUCCAUUCUUUCACUGUACAGAACCAUAGAUACAUACCCAUCAUUUACACUUUUGUCCAUCAUCAUAUGAACAUGUAUAUUAUUUAAGCCUAAGAUUGGGAUUUGGAUUUGUAUCUGGUGGAAGCACCUUUUCUUUGUAACAGGAACUAAGAGAGAUUACAAGUAUUCUCUUUUUAGCAGA